UACGUAGGGGGCGAGCGUUGUCCGGAUUUAUUGGGCGUAAAGAGCUCGUAGGCGGUGUGUCGCGUCGGCCGUGAAAACCUGCAGCUUAACUGUGGGCUUGCGGUCGAUACGGGCAUCACUGGAGUUCGGCAGGGGAGACUGGAAUUCCUGGUGUAGCGGUGAAAUGCGCAGAUAUCAGGAGGAACACCGGUGGCGAAGGCGGGUCUCUGGGCCGAUACUGACGCUGAGGAGCGAAAGCGUGGGGAGCGAACAGG
rnacentral:rRNA from 1 species